CCUACGGGAGGCAGCAGUGGGGAAUUUUGGACAAUGGGCGAAAGCCUGAUCCAGCAAUGCCGCGUGCAGGAAGAAGGCCUUCGGGUUGUAAACUGCUUUUGUACGGAACGAAACGGUCUGCUUUAAUACAGUGGGCUAAUGACGGUACCGUAAGAAUAAGCACCGGCUAACUACGUGCCAGCAGCCGCGGUAAUACGUAGGGUGCGAGCGUUAAUCGGAAUUACUGGGCGUAAAGCGUGCGCAGGCGGUUAUAUAAGACAGUUGUGAAAUCCCCGGGCUCAACCUGGGAAUUGCAUCUGUGACUGUAUAGCUAGAGUACGGUAGAGGGGGAUGGAAUUCCGCGUGUAGCAGUGAAAUGCGCAGAUAUGCGGAGGAACACCGAUGGCGAAGGCAAUCCCCUGGACCUGUACUGACGCUCAUGCACGAAAGCGUGGGGAGCAAACAGGAUUAGAUACCCUGGUAGUCCACGCCCUAAACGAUGUCAACUGGUUGUUGGGUGCAUUAGUACUCAGUAACGAAGCUAACGCGUGAAGUUGACCGCCUGGGGAGUAACGGCCGCAAGGUUGAAACUUCAAAGGAAUUGACGGCUGAGACGNGCGAGACGACGACGAGGAGGAGG
rnacentral:rRNA from 1 species